AGAGGCAUGGCUCAGCAGUAGAGCACUUGCCUAGCAAGUAUGAGGCCCUGAGUUCAAACCCCAGUAACUGUC
rnacentral:tRNA from 1 species